UAAUACGUAGGGGACGAGCGUUGUCCGGAUUUACUGGGCGUAAAGGGCGCGUAGGCGGUCAUUUAAGUCAGCUGUGAAAUGGUUUGGCUUAACCGGAUCAUGCGGUUGAAACUGGAUGACUGGAGUGCUGGAGAGGCAAGUGGAAUUCCCAGUGUAGCGGUGAAAUGCGUAGAUAUUGGGAAGAACACCGGUGGCGAAGGCGACUUGCUGGCCAGCAACUGACGCUGAGGCGCGAAAGCCAGGGGAGCAAACGGGA
rnacentral:rRNA from 1 species